rnacentral:rRNA from 1 species
ACUGGGGAACUUGAGUGCAGAAGAGGAGAGUGGAAUUCCACGUGUAGCGGUGAAAUGCUAAGAGAUGUGGAGGAACACCAGUGGCGAAGGCGACUCUCUGGUCUGUAACUGACGCUGAGGAGCGAAAGCGUGGGGAGCGAACAGGAUUAGAUACCCUGGUAGUCCACGCCGUAAACGAUGAGUGCUAAGUGUUAGGGGGUUUCCGCCCCUUAGUGCUGCAGCUAACGCAUUAAGCACUCCGCCUGGGGAGUACGGUCGCAAGACUGAAACUCAAAGGAAUUGACGGGGGCCCGCACAAGCGGUGGAGCAUGUGGUUUAAUUCGAAGCAACGCGAAGAACCUUACCAGGUCUUGACAUCCUCUGACAAUCCUAGAGAUAGGACGUCCCCUUCGGGGGCAGAGUGACAGGUGGUGCAUGGUUGUCGUCAGCUCGUGUCGUGAGAUGUUGGGUUAAGUCCCGCAACGAGCGCAACCCUUGAUCUUAGUUGCCAGCAUUCAGUUGGGCACUCUAAGGUGACUGCCGGUGACAAACCGGAGGAAGGUGGGGAUGACGUCAAAUCAUCAUGCCCCUUAUGACCUGGGCUACACACGUGCUACAAUGGACAGAACAAAGGGCAGCGAAACCGCGAGGUUAAGCCAAUCCCACAAAUCUGUUCUCAGUUCGGAUCGCAGUCUGCAACUCGACUGCGUGAAGCUGGAAUCGCUAGUAAUCGCGGAUCACAUGCCCGGGGGA